GGAUAGGUGGCAGAGCGGUUGAAUGCACCGGUCUUGAAAACCGGCGACGGGGAAACUCGUUCGUGAGUUCGAAUCUCACCCUAUCCGCCA
rnacentral:tRNA from 1 species